GCGCCGGUGGAGCAGUGGAUCAGAGCACGCGUCCCUCGGAUAGGGUAAAAUGAGGGUUUGAGUCCCGCCUGGCGCA